rnacentral:snoRNA from 1 species
AUGCAUCUAUUUGACAGGCCUGGAGCAGUUCCUGUCACGUGUCCACUCCAGAUGCAAGAACAAAGCAUCCUUGCGCUUUCGGUCUGUCGGAUGGGGGCAGCCCAAACUGAAUGGGGGAAUACAGGA